UUGGUAGGAACAUAGAAGGUAAUCCUGAUAUACUUGCUGUUGUUGAAAGGAUCGAAAGUGAAUACAAAGAACUCAAAGAGGAAUCCAGGUUUAUCAUAUUUGUAAAAACCAGAGCUACAGCACGAUCCCUAUCAGAGAGGCUUCCUGACUAUCUGCGCAGUACUUACCUCACUGGGUCACACAAAUCUAUAGAGGAAGGAGGUCGUCCUCCGGACGAACAGAUAGACGUCUUGGAAAAGUUUAGAAGUGGUGACCAUUUAUGCAUUGUUUCAACAUCAGUAGGAUGUGAGGGGCUCGAUGUUCCACAAUGCAAUGUGAUGAUCCGUUAUAGAUUUAGUGCAGAUGAAAUAAGCAGCUUGCAAAUGCGUGGAAGAGUACGUAAAAGAGAAGGACGAGAAGUAAUUGUUGGUACUACAAAGGAGUUUGAAACUGAAAUGAAAAACAUCCAGCGGCAGUAUCUAAUGACACUUGCAGUAGAAGAAGUUUCCAAACUUAAUAUUGCAAGGGAUAUAGCAGUAGCAGAAAAAAUCAUUUAUGAAAUGGAAGAGCUCGAAAGGAGGACGGCAAACAUUAAGUUAAGCCAAAAAA